CCCCUGACUCUGGGAUAAGCCUGGGAAACCGGGUCUAAUACUGGAUACGACCUCCCAUCGCAUGGUGGGGGGUGGAAAGGGUUUACUGGUUUUGGAUGGGCUCACGGCCUAUCAGCUUGUUGGUGGGGUAAUGGCUCACCAAGGCGACGACGGGUAGCCGGCCUGAGAGGGUGACCGGCCACACUGGGACUGAGACACGGCCCAGACUCCUACGGGAGGCAGCAGUGGGGAAUAUUGCACAAUGGGCGGAAGCCUGAUGCAGCGACGCCGCGUGAGGGAUGACGGCCUUCGGGUUGUAAACCUCUUUCAGUAGGGAAGAAGCGCAAGUGACGGUACCUGCAGAAGAAGCGCCGGCUAACUACGUGCCAGCAGCCGCGGUAAUACGUAGGGCGCAAGCGUUGUCCGGAAUUAUUGGGCGUAAAGAGCUCGUAGGCGGUUUGUCGCGUCUGCUGUGAAAGCCCGGGGCUCAACCCCGGGUCUGCAGUGGGUACGGGCAGACUAGAGUGCAGUAGGGGAGACUGGAAUUCCUGGUGUAGCGGUGAAAUGCGCAGAUAUCAGGAGGAACACCGAUGGCGAAGGCAGGUCUCUGGGCUGUUACUGACGCUGAGGAGCGAAAGCAUGGGGAGCGAACAGGAUUAGAUACCCUGGUAGUCCAUGCCGUAAACGUUGGGCACUAGGUGUGGGGGACAUUCCACGUUCUCCGCGCCGUAGCUAACGCAUUAAGUGCCCCGCCUGGGGAGUACGGCCGCAAGGCUAAAACUCAAAGGAAUUGACGGGGGCCCGCACAAGCGGCGGAGCAUGCGGAUUAAUUCGAUGCAACGCGAAGAACCUUACCAAGGCUUGACAUUCACCGGACCGCCCCAGAGAUGGGGUUUCCCUUCGGGGUCGGUGGACAGGUGGUGCAUGGUUGUCGUCAGCUCGUGUCGUGAGAUGUUGGGUUAAGUCCCGCAACGAGCGCAACCCUCGUUCUAUGUUGCCAGCACGUGAUGGUGGGGACUCAUAGGAGACUGCCGGGGUCAACUCGGAGGAAGGUGGGGAUGACGUCAAAUCAUCAUGCCCCUUAUGUCUUGGGCUUCACGCAUGCUACAAUGGCCGGUACAAAGGGUUGCGAUACUGUGAGGUGGAGCUAAUCCCAAAAAGCCGGUCUCAGUUCGGAUUGAGGUCUGCAACUCGACCUCAUGAAGUCGGAGUCGCUAGUAAUCGCAGAUCAGCAACGCUGCGGUGAAUACGUUCCCGGGCCUUGUACACACCGCCCGUCAAGUCACGAAAGU
rnacentral:rRNA from 1 species